GGUAAUAAUAGCUUAGUGGUUAAGAUGUUGGAUUGGUAAUCUAAAGGGUAUGAGUUCAAAUCCCAGCAUUGCUA